GGGAAUUCCCGGGACGCCGGGGGCGGACGCGGGGCGCGCGCCUCCGGACACACACGCGCACACUCACACGUGCAACGUGUACACACCUGGCCGGCGGCAGCACGGCGCGGAGAGGGCUGUCGGUCACCCCCACCCCACCGGCCGCCCGAAAACAGCUCCCCUCAGCCAGCGGCCCUCCAGCGGGCGCUCCCCUCCGACCCCCCACGCCAGCCGCGCACAGCCGGCUCCGGCUACCAGGAUCCCUGCCAGAGGCUACAUCGUCUCCUGCUCAAAGACUGACUUGCUAAUGAGUUUCAUAUGAAACAAAGAAAAGACGGGGGCAGAGCAAACGGGGAAGGGGAGCAGCACAGCUGUGGAGACUUAAAAGUGCAACCCAAGAACUAAGGAAGCGAACACUGUCUGCUCACAGGAAGCAGGGGAGGGACCAGAAGUGGGGAGAAGAAGUAAAAAGGAGAGAGCAGAGGCCCAGGAGAGAUUGGAUCCAAUGUCCCAGCGGAGGCUCUGGGCAGGAGAGAAUCCAGCCUUCCCUUUGCAAAAGCUGGAAGGUACAGCAAGAAGCCAGCCAUCUGCACACCAGGAAGAGGGCUCCCACCAGACACUGGAACUGCAAGCCCCCUGAUCUCGGACUUCUCAGCCUCCAUAACUGUGAGAAAUAAAAGUCUGCUGUUUAAACAACCCCUAAGCCUAUGGUUACAGUAGCUUCUGACUAAAACAGAAGCCUUGGUCAUCUGCGGAGAGAAGGGUGGCCAUUGCUGAGGAGGGGCCAGGGGUAUAGCAGUGAAGGUUAAAGACUGCAGCUGGGAGAAUCAGGGGAAGAAAGGAUGCUGAUCAAGGGCUGUGGCUGUGCUGAGAACCCGGCAGAGGUCAGAGGACAAAGGCUCCAAAACACGUGCAAGAUGUGCUAGAAGGAAAUGCGUGAGGUUCAGAGAAAGAAGAAAAGUUUUUGGAGGAGAUAUCUAACUUCACGAAAAUAAAUCUUUUUUAUGGCACAGAGAAGAUUUUCUCUCUGAAGUUCCCAUAAGCAGUGUUAUUUAUCUGUGAAGAAGUCUCCUCCCACAAAGCAGCAGCAGUGAGCUCGUGGUACAGCCUGGCUUCCAGAGCACAGAGGCUGGAUUCUCAUCGACAUUCUUAGGCAGACUUCACAAGACUUUGAAGUGGCCGCUGUACGAAAUGGGAGCAAGAAUAUCCAGUUUCCCAACUCGAGGCAAGGAAACGAAGGAUCUGAAGGGUUAAAUGACUCACUUCAGAUCAAACAGCUGUUGGAGGAGAAAUUCAAACAAAAAAUUCAGGUCUUCAGAGUCCUCUCAGGGUAGAAGGUUUAUUCUCUGAGCUCAUGUUGGAGGGAACCUGGGGCAUCAUCAAAAGCAGCUACACCAGUGUAGUCAUUUAUGGAACUCUUAAAGGUCAAGGUUUCGUCGCUGUUCAGGUACAAGAGCGACGCCUGCAGGACAGUCCUUUGCAUGUGAACCCUGCCGGGUUCCAGGAAAUGCUCCUGGCUGUGCUCUGUGGCCGGGUGUCCCACACUGACAGGUCAGUGUACAAAAGCUGUGAGCAAACAACGUGGCCUCCGCUUUUGCUUUCAAGCUGUCUGGGGGAAAAUGCUGACGUCUCUCGCUACCUCUCUUCCUGUCUCCGUCUUCCUGUUGAUCUGUGUGUGCUUUCAUAACUUCCCCACACAUGACUCAUUCUACUUCAUCCCAAAAGAAUAGCGAAAAGGAACAAUGAAUUCAGACAGCCCGUUCGUACCAAUUUAGGUGAGCCCUUCUUAAUUAAGUCAGUCCAGAGUCAAAAUCCCAGAUUUAAAAAGAUGAUGGACAGAUUAUGAGGUGAUUAGUCACACUAAAAAAGGUUUUGGAACUCAGAAGGGUAAAGCUGGGAAGGAGUCUUAGAAAUCGUUCAUUGCACUCACUCUCUCAUUUUGUAGCUGAGAAAACUGAGCCACAGAAGGAGAAUGACCAGGCCAAUGACCUUCUCAUCCCUAACUCAUACUUUUCAGAAAGGAAAG